rnacentral:rRNA from 1 species
GACGAACGCUGGCGGCGUGCUUAACACAUGCAAGUCGAACGGUAAGGCCCUUCGGGGUAUACGAGUGGCGAACGGGUGAGUAACACGUGGGUGAUCUGCCCUGCACUUCGGGAUAAGCCUGGGAAACUGGGUCUAAGACCGGAUAGGACUCCGGACUGCAUGGUCUGGGGUGGAAAGCUUUUGCGGUGUGGGAUGGGCCCGCGGCCUAUCAGCUUGUUGGUGGGGUGAUGGCCUACCAAGGCGACGACGGGUAGCCGGCCUGAGAGGGUGACCGGCCACACUGGGACUGAGAUACGGCCCAGACUCCUACGGGAGGCAGCAGUGGGGAAUAUUGCACAAUGGGCGCAAGCCUGAUGCAGCGACGCCGCGUGAGGGAUGACGGCCUUCGGGUUGUAAACCUCUUUCAGCAUCGACGAAGCGAAAGUGACGGUAGGUGCAGAAGAAGGACCGGCCAACUACGUGCCAGCCGCCGCAGUAA